AUCAGUGAAAUCGAGUAGGGCGGGACACGUGAUAUCCUGUCUGAAUAUGGGGGGACCAUCCUCCAAGGCUAAAUACUACUGACUGACCGAUAGUGAACCAGUACCGUGAGGGAAAGGCGAAAAGAACCCCUGUGAGGGGAGUGAAAUAGAACCUGAAACCGUGUACGUACAAGCAGUAGGAGCACCUUCGUGGUGUGACUGCGUACCUUUUGUAUAAUGGGUCAGCGACUUAUAUUCAGUGGCAAGGUUAACCGUUUAGGGGAGCCGUAGGGAAACCGAGUCUUAACUGGGCGUUCAGUCUCUGGAUAUAGACCCGAAACCAGGUGAUCUAGCCAUGGGCAGGUUGAAGGUUGAGUAACAUCAACUGGAGGACCGAACCGACUAAUGUUGAAAAAUUAGCGGAUGACUUGUGGCUAGGGGUGAAAGGCCAAUCAAACCUGGAGAUAGCUGGUUCUCCCCGAAAUCUAUUUAGGUAGAGCCUCGGACGAAUACUACUGGGGGUAGAGCACUGUUAAGGCUAGGGGGUCAUCCCGACUUACCAACCCUUUGCAAACUCCGAAUACCAGUAAGUACUAUCCGGGAGACACACGGCGGGUGCUAACGUCCGUCGUGGAGAGGGAAACAACCCAGACCGCCAGCUAAGGUCCCAAAGUAUAGCUAAGUGGGAAACGAUGUGGGAAGGCUUAGACAGCUAGGAUGUUGGCUUAGAAGCAGCCAUCAUUUAAAGAAAGCGUAAUAGCUCACUAGUCGAGUCGGCCUGCGCGGAAGAUGUAACGGGGCUAAGCUAUACACCGAAGCUGCGGCAAUGUGUUACAAUUGCGAUGGGGGGACGGAGAAGGCUAGGUGGGCCUGGCGACGGUUGUCCAGGUUCAAGUGCGUAGGCUUAAGGUUUAGGUAAAUCCGGACCUUUUUAAGGCUGAGACACGAUGUCGAGCUACUACGGUAGUGAAGUCAUUGAUGCCAUGCUUCCAGGAAAAGCCUCUAAGCUUCAGAUUGUAAGGAAUCGUACCCCAAACCGACACAGGUGGUCGGGUAGAGAAUACCAAGGCGCUUGAGAGAACUCGGGUGAAGGAACUAGGCAAAAUGGUACCGUAACUUCGGGAGAAGGUACGCUCUUAGUGGUGAAGUCCCUUGCGGAUGGAGCUACCGAGAGUCGCAGAUACCAGGUGGCUGCAACUGUUUAUUAAAAACACAGCACUGUGCAAAAUCGCAAGAUGACGUAUACGGUGUGACGCCUGCCCGGUGCCGGAAGGUUAAUUGAUGGGGUUAGUUUUCGGACGAAGCUCUUGAUCGAAGCCCCGGUAAACGGCGGCCGUAACUAUAACGGUCCUAAGGUAGCGAAAUUCCUUGUCGGGUAAGUUCCGACCUGCACGAAUGGCGUAAUGAUGGCCACGCUGUCUCCACCCGAGACUCAGUGAAAUUGAAAUCGCUGUGAAGAUGCAGUGUACCCGCGGCUAGACGGAAAGACCCCGUGAACCUUUACUACAGCUUGGCACUGAACAUUGAGCCUACAUGUGUAGGAUAGGUGGGAGCCUUUGAAGCGAGUACGCCAGUAUUCGUGGAGGCAAUCUUGAAAUACCACCCUUGUAUGUUUGAUGUUCUAACUUGGUUCCCUAAUCGGGAAUGAGGACAGUGCCUGGUGGGUAGUUUGACUGGGGCGGUCUCCUCCCAAAGAGUAACGGAGGAGCACGAAGGUGGGCUAAUCACGGUUGGACAUCGUGAGGUUAGUGCAAUGGCAUAAGCCCGCUUGACUGCGAGAAUGACAAUUCGAGCAGGUGCGAAAGCAGGUCAUAGUGAUCCGGUGGUUCUGAAUGGAAGGGCCAUCGCUCAACGGAUAAAAGGUACUCCGGGGAUAACAGGCUGAUACCGCCCAAGAGUUCAUAUCGACGGCGGUGUUUGGCACCUCGAUGUCGGCUCAUCACAUCCUGGGGCUGAAGUCGGUCCCAAGGGUAUGGCUGUUCGCCAUUUAAAGUGGUACGCGAGCUGGGUUUAGAACGUCGUGAGACAGUUCGGUCCCUAUCUGCCGUGGGCGUUGGAAGAUUGAAGGGGGCUGCUCCUAGUACGAGAGGACCGGAGUGGACGAACCUCUGGUGUUCGGGUUGUGUCGCCAGACGCAUUGCCCGGUAGCUAAGUUCGGAAUCGAUAACCGCUGAAAGCAUCUAAGCGGGAAGCGAGCCCUGAGAUGAGUCUUCCCUGGC
rnacentral:rRNA from 1 species